rnacentral:rRNA from 1 species
AACGCGAAGAACCUUACCUAAGCUUGACAUCCCACUGACCUCUCCCUAAUCGGAGAUUUCCCUUCGGGACAGUGGUGACAGGUGGUGCAUGGUUGUCGUCAGCUCGUGUCGUGAGAUGUUGGGUUAAGUCCCGCAACGAGCGCAACCCUUGUCUUUAGUUGCCAUCAUUAAGUUGGGCACUCUAGAGAGACUGCCGAGGAUAACUCGGAGGAAGGUGGGGAUGACGUCAAAUCAUCAUGCCCCUUAUGCUUAGGGCUACACACGUGCUACAAUGGGUGGUACAGAGGGCAGCCAAGCCGUGAGGUGGAGCAAAUCCCUUAAAGCCAUUCUCAGUUCGGAUUGUAGGCUGAAACUCGCCUACAUGAAGCUGGAGUUACUAGUAAUCGCAGAUCAGAAUGCUGCGGUGAAUGCGUUCCCGGGUCUUGUACACACCG